ACCCCUCUGCUUUUCACAUAGGAGGUGGUUCUGUGUAAAUGUGAGCUACUCCAGUCCCAGUUCUCUGGAAAUUCUGGCCUGGAGAAGUCAACAACCGUGAUGAACCUCAGUCCUUACACACUUACUCGGUUCCUGUCAGGCACUUACCCUUCCCGUAUAUUUGCCACCACGAAAGAUGAAGGGAAAGGGAAGGCUUGGAGGCAAGUGCUGUAAAAGUUUCUCCUUCACCACAGCUCUAUGUGAGAGAAAGUUGGCUGAUUCUUGAUCGUCCACUAUGUCUAAGGAGCUGUCAUUUGUACAUUUUCCAAAUAAAA
rnacentral:lncRNA from 1 species